GCAGCAGGCAUAAAAAGCUUGGAUCCAAGACUGCUCCUCAAAAACUGAACUAAUAGAACAUUCUUUUGGUUGGCCUGCAAGACCAUGAUAAUUCAAACUUUCCACCCAACAACUCAAAAUAGCCGCAAGCUGCCCAAUCCUAGCAACCCGAAUAGGUAAAACUAAAUUAAAAUGAUGAAGUAUCAAGAGAAGACACCUGAAG
rnacentral:misc_RNA from 1 species